CGGAGAUAUGAGGGUAGUGCUGAGAAGCUGGAUCGGAUUGAGACAGACCUUCACCCGUGUUGUGGAUGCGGGAAACCGAAUGUGGGUCUAAAGGGUUUAUUGGAAGGCUUUAAUGUCAGAGUGGGAGAGGGGACCCGCUGGUGUGACGAAACAGAAGCAGUGAUGAAUUAACAGUAAGUGUGCAUGAGAUACCACUUGAAAGAUGUCAUUGUGGGUAAAAUCUAUUUCCUUCUGGUGAGAAUCAAAAUCCAACACAUGGAACUUCAAUUGAUAAAGAAGGAGAUGACUGGAAUAGGGCCUAGCACAACUACAGAGAG